rnacentral:rRNA from 1 species
AUUAGAUACCCUGGUAGUCCACGCAGUAAACGAUGAAUACUAAUUGUCCGGGCAGAUAGAUGCCUGGGUGAUACAGCGAAAGCGUUAAGUAUUCCACCUGGGGAGUACGCCGGCAACGGUGAAACUCAAAGGAAUUGACGGGGGCCCGCACAAGCGGAGGAACAUGUGGUUUAAUUCGAUGAUACGCGAGGAACCUUACCCGGGCUCAAACGACACAGGAAUACUUUUGAAAGGAGGUAGCCAGCAAUGGUCUGUGUCGAGGUGCUGCAUGGUUGUCGUCAGCUCGUGCCGUGAGGUGUCGGCUUAAGUGCCAUAACGAGCGCAACCCCUACCGCCAGUUGCCAACAGGUAAAGCUGGGGACUCUGGCGGGACUGCCGGCGCAAGCUGCGAGGAAGGCGGGGAUGACGUCAAAUCAGCACGGCCCUUACGUCCGGGGCGACACACGUGUUACAAUGGCAGGUACAGCGGGAAGCCACCUGGCGACAGGGCGCGGAACCCGAAAACCUGUCUCAGUUCGGAUUGGAGUCUGCAACCCGACUCCAUGAAGCUGGAUUCGCUAGUAAUCGCGCAUCAGCCACGGCGCGGUGAAUACGUUCCCGGGCCUUGUACACACCGCCCGUCAAGCCAUGGAAGCCGGGAGUGCCUGAAGUGCGUGACCGCAAGGAGCGUCCUAAGGCAAUACCGGUGACUGGGGCUAAGUCGUAACAAGGUACCAAGGGCGAAUUCGCGC